GCCUAAAAAAGCAGAGAUCAUACCUCGUACCUUUUGCAUCAUGAUUUAGCAAGUACACCCGAGCAGAAAGAAUUUUAGUUCGACCCCCCGAAACCAAGUGAGCUACUCCAAGACAACCUGAAAUAAGGGUUAACCCGUCUCUGUAGCAAAAGAGUGGGAAGAUCUUUGAGUAGAGGUGACAGACCUAUCCGAACUUGGUUAUAGCUGGUUGCUUGAGAAAUGAAUAAAAGUUCCGCCUCUUGUAUUCUUCCCUCCCGCCAAGCCCACUAUUUUGAGCCUUCCAUAAGAUAAAAGAAAACAACAGAGUAAAUCAAAGGAGGUACAGCUCCUUUGAGACAAAAUACAACUUUUCCAGAAGGGUAAAGAUCAUAAUCUUUAAGGUAACUAUGUUUUGGUGGGCCUAAAAGCAGCCAUCCCAUUAGAAAGCGUUAAAGCUCUAACAUAUUUCCUGCCCCCAAUCCCGAUAACAAGUCUAAACCCCCUCCCCCUAUCAAGCCGUCCCAUGAAGUCAUGGAAGAGAUUAUGCUAGAAUGAGUAAUAAGAGAGUAUCGCCUCUCUCCCUGUACACGUGUAAAUCAGAACGGACCCCCCGCCGAAACUUAACGGACCCAAAGCACAGAGGGCACUGAAUAAUUAAUAACUAACAAGAAAAUUAUUCAAACCACCACCGUUAACCCCACACUGGUGUACUCCAAAAGAAAGACCAAGAGAAAAAGAAGGAACUCGGCAAAAACACCUAAAGCCUCGCCUGUUUACCAAAAACAUCGCCUCUUGUCAAUUGCACAUAAGAGGUCCCGCCUGCCCCGUGACCCCCAGUUUAACGGCCGCAGUAUUUUGACCGCGCAAAGGUAGCGUAAUCACUUGUCCCUUAAAUGAGGACCUGUAUGAACGGCAUAACGAGGGCUUUACUGUCUCCUUUUUCCAGUCAAUGAAAUUGAUUUUCCCGUGCAGAAGCGGGAAUCUCCACAUAAGACGAGAAGACCCUAUGGAGCUUUAGACUUUAAAACAGACCAUAUUAGCUACCCCUAUUAAAUAAAGUAUCAACUAUUGAAACCUGUUCCCUGUCUUCGGUUGGGGCGACCACGGGGAAAAGAAAACCCCCCACGUGGACCAGAAGUACCUUUAAAAUUUACUUCCACAACUAAGAGCCACAGCUCUAACGCACAGAAUUUCUGACCUAUAGAUCCGGCAAAGCCGAUCAACGGACCAAGUUACCCUAGGGAUAACAGCGCAAUCCCCUUUAAGAGUCCCUAUCGCCAAGGGGGUUUACGACCUCGAUGUUGGAUCAAGACAUCCUAAUGGUGCAACCGCUAUUAAGGGUUCGUUUGUUCAACGAUUAAAGUCUU
rnacentral:rRNA from 1 species